AGCAGCAAGGAAGGUGAUAAGUAAAUAGCAUUAGCAGACAAUUGAAGUUCUUUUUAAGCAUACUUUAUUGCUAGCAUCUCCCUUUUACCAUAAAACAAUCAAUCAGGCAUGCAAAAAUCCCACUGGCUUUAUACAAGACUUUGCCCACACCUGACCUCGUUAGCCCCUACCAUUGAACAAAAUAGGUCAAACCAAAUAAUACAAUUCUAAACAAAGAACAGGAAUAAAGUCAUGCAUGAAACUGACAAACUCAUUUACUCAACUAAAUGGUUUGUAAAGUAAAACACUGCAUACAAUAUAACUCAAAAGGCUACUUUAAAGAAAACAAACAAUACUAUACAAAAUGAAAACCCUCCAUUUGGUUACACCCAGUGAUCCAAUCAUUGACCUCAUGACCCUAUAUAAACAGGAAGUAGUGGGCGGCCCUUCCCAUACACCCGUCUCACAUACAGGACCUGAAUGCACAACAUGGACACCAUGCUAUCAGGCAGACAUAUCACUGAAAUCUGGCUGCCGGAGCAGCCUUUGAAGCCUCCUGGCAGAGCUGCGCCAGGGAGCUCCGAGCUGGCUGCAUUGAAGUUAGCGUUAACACUCCACCUCCACGGCAGAUCAGAAGCUCCCUGUAGCGAGACACCUCACCUCAACGCCACAACUUCAGAGGCAGGCCCGCCUCUACGGGUGGAGAGGACGGCUUGCUUUGCUUCUCGCAUCAACACAUGUGUGCUGGCAGCAGGAAUCUACCCGACACAGAGCUGUGUAAGAGCACAUGUAGUGACACAACAACUUCAUUUUCCUUGAAGUUGAAUCUUUUUGGUCCUUCAAGCUUUGGCCGGUGAGCACUUUGAGUCCUUCAGUUUAUAAAAUGUGCUAAAUAAAGAUGGCCUGACUUAAUUAUGAUUAUAAA